UGAACUUAAGUUUGGAUGGAGUUGGAACGGCUACCUACGUUUGACGCUAGGGGCGCUGUUCCAACUGCAUACAAAUUUGAUUUA
rfam:Bombyx mori DNA, contig: Bm_scaf59_contig28609, strain: p50T/Dazao, build 2, whole genome shotgun sequence.